rnacentral:rRNA from 1 species
UACCGAGUUUACAACUCCCAAACCCCUGUGAACAUACCAAUUGUUGCCUCGGCGGAUCAGCCCGCUCCCGGUAAAACGGGACGGCCCGCCAGAGGACCCCUAAACUCUGUUUCUAUAUGUAACUUCUGAGUAAAACCAUAAAUAAAUCAAAACUUUCAACAACGGAUCUCUUGGUUCUGGCAUCGAUGAAGAACGCAGCAAAAUGCGAUAAGUAAUGUGAAUUGCAGAAUUCAGUGAAUCAUCGAAUCUUUGAACGCACAUUGCGCCCGCCAGUAUUCUGGCGGGCAUGCCUGUUCGAGCGUCAUUUCAACCCUCAAGCCCCCGGGUUUGGUGUUGGGGAUCGGCGAGCCCUUGCGGCAAGCCGGCCCCGAAAUCUAGUGGCGGUCUCGCUGCAGCUUCCAUUGCGUAGUAGUAAAACCCUCGCAACUGGUACGCGGCGCGGCCAAGCCGUUAAACCCCCAACUUCUGAAUGUUGACCUCGGAUCAGGUAGGAAUACCCGCUGAACUUAAGCAUAUCAAUAAGCGGAGGAGAAGAAACCAACAGGGAUUGCCCUAGUAACGGCGAGUGAAGCGGCAACAGCUCAAAUUUGAAAUCUGGCUCUCGGGCCCGAGUUGUAAUUUGUAGAGGAUACUUUUGAUGCGGUGCCUUCCGAGUUCCCUGGAACGGGACGCCAUAGAGGGUGAGAGCCCCGUCUGG